rnacentral:rRNA from 1 species
UACGUAGGUGGCAAGCGUUGUCCGGAAUUAUUGGGCGUAAAGCGCGCGCAGGCGGUCCUUUAAGUCUGAUGUGAAAGCCCACGGCUCAACCGUGGAGGGUCAUUGGAAACUGGGGGACUUGAGUACAGGAGAGAAGAGUGGAAUUCCACGUGUAGCGGUGAAAUGCGUAGAGAUGUGGAGGAACACCAGUGGCGAAGGCGACUCUUUGGCCUGUAACUGACGCUGAGGCGCGAAAGCUAGGGGAGCAAACAGG